rnacentral:rRNA from 1 species
UACAGAGGUCCCAAGCGUUGUUCGGAUUCACUGGGCGUAAAGCGUGCGUAGGCGGUCCGUGAAGUCUGAUGUGAAAGCCCCGGGCUCAACCUGGGAACUGCAUUGGAAACUAACGGGCUCGAGUGUGGCAGAGGGGGGUGGAAUUCCACGUGUAGCAGUGAAAUGCGUAGAGAUGUGGAGGAACACCGAUGGCGAAGGCAGCCGCCUGGGCUAACACUGACGCUCAGGCACGAAAGCGUGGGGAGCAAACAGG